UACGUAGGGGGCGAGCGUUGUCCGGAUUCAUUGGGCGUAAAGCGCGGGCAGGCGGCCCGCUCAGUCGGCCGUGAAAGCGCCGGGCUCAACUCGGCGCGGUCGGGCGAUACUGGCGGGCUCGAGGCUGGUAGAGGGCGGUGGAAUUCCGGGUGUAGUGGUGGAAUGCGUAGAGCUCCGGAGGAACACCAGUGGCGAAGGCGGCCG
rnacentral:rRNA from 1 species